rnacentral:rRNA from 1 species
UAAUACGUAGGGACCAAGCGUUGUUCGGAUUUACUGGGCGUAAAGGGCGCGUAGGCGGCAAUUCAAGUCAUCUGUGAAAUCUCCGGGCUUAACCCGGAACGGUCAGAUGAUACUGCUUUGCUAGAGUGCGGAAGGGGCAAUCGGAAUUCUCGGUGUAGCGGUGAAAUGCGUAGAUAUCGAGAGGAACACCUGAGGUGAAGACGGGUUGCUGGGCCGACACUGACGCUGAGUGCGCGAAAGCCAGGGGAGCAAACGGGAUUAGAUACCCCGGUAGUCCUGGCCCUAAACGAUGAAUACUUGGUGUCUGGAGUUAUUAGUGCUCCGGGUGCCGUCGCUAACGUUUUUAGUAUUCCGCCUGGGGAGUACGCUCGCAAGAGUG